rnacentral:rRNA from 1 species
GACGAACGCUGGCGGCGUGCCUAAUACAUGCAAGUUGAGCGCUGAAGGUUGGUACUUGUACCAACUGGAUGAGCAGCGAACGGGUGAGUAACGCGUGGGGAAUCUGCCUUUGAGCGGGGGACAACAUUUGGAAACGAAUGCUAAUACCGCAUAAAAACUUUAAACACAAGUUUUAAGUUUGAAAGAUGCAAUUGCAUCACUCAAAGAUGAUCCCGCGUUGUAUUAGCUAGUUGGUGAGGUAAAGGCUCACCAAGGCGAUGAUACAUAGCCGACCUGAGAGGGUGGUCGGCCACAUUGGGACUUGGACACGGCCCAAACUCCUACGGGAGGCAGCAGUAGGGAAUCUUCGGCAAUGGACGAAAGUCUGACCGAGCAACGCCGCGUGAGUGAAGAAGGUUUUCGGAUCGUAAAACUCUGUUGGUAGAGAAGAACGUUGGUGAGAGUGGAAAGCUCAUCAAGUGACGGUAACUACCCAGAAAGGGACGGCUAACUACGUG